GGCCGUGUGCCCGAGUGGUUCAGGGACUCGCCUGCACCGCAUCGAUCAGCGGGCUCCGCCCGCGGGGAGUUACGCGGGUUCGAUUCCCGCCACGGCCU
rnacentral:tRNA from 1 species